UACGUAGGGGCUAGCGUUAUCCGGAAUUACUGGGCGUAAAGGGUGCGUAGGUGGUUUCUUAAGUCAGAGGUGAAAGGCUACGGCUCAACCGUAGUAAGCCUUUGAAACUGGGAAACUUGAGUGCAGGAGAGGAGAGUGGAAUUCCUAGUGUAGCGGUGAAAUGCGUAGAUAUUAGGAGGGACACCAGUUGCGAAGGCGGCUCUCUGGACUGUAACUGACACUGAGGCACGAAAGCGUGGGGAGCAAACAGGAUUAGAUACCCUGGUAGUCCCUGAG
rnacentral:rRNA from 1 species